AGAGUUUGAUCAUGGCUCAGAACGAACGUUGGCGGCGUGCUUAACACAUGCAAGUCGAACGAGAAAGUUUCCUUCGGGAAGCGAGUAAAGUGGCGCACGGGUGAGUAACACGUAGAUAAUCUGUCCAGGUGUUCGGGAUAGCCCUUCGAAAGGGGGAUUAGUACCGGAUACGUUAGUCUUUCAUAAGUGAGAUUAAGAAAGGUGGCCUCUAUUUAUAAGCUAUCGCAUUUGGAGGAGUCUGCGUACCAUUAGUUUGUUGGUGGGGUAACGGCCUACCAAGACUUCGAUGGUUAGCGGGUCUGAGAGGAUGAUCCGUCACACUGGCACUGAAACACGGGCCAGACUCCUACGGGAGGCAGCAGUGAGGAAUAUUGCGCAAUGGGGGAAACCCUGACGCAGCGACGCCGCGUGGGUGAGGAAGGCUUUCGGGUCGUAAAGCCCUGUCAGGUGGGAAGAAAUGUGUAUUGGCUAAUAUCCUUUACAUUUGACGGUACCACCAAAGGAAGCACCGGCUAACUCCGUGCCAGCAGCCGCGGUAAUACGGAGGGUGCAAACGUUGUUCGGAAUCACUGGGCGUAAAGGGCGCGCAGGCGGUUUGAUUAGUCAGAUGUGAAAGCCCACGGCUUAACCGUGGAAGUGCAUUUGAAACUGUCAGACUUGAGUACCAGAGGGGGUAGUGGAAUUCCCGGUGUAGAGGUGAAAUUCGUAGAUAUCGGGAGGAAUACCGGUGGCGAAGGCGACUACCUGGCUGGAUACUGACGCUGAGGCGCGAAAGCGUGUGGAGCAAACACGAUUAGAUA
rnacentral:rRNA from 1 species